UACGAAGGGGGCUAGCGUUGCUCGGAAUCACUGGGCGUAAAGGGUGCGUAGGCGGGUUUUUAAGUCAGAGGUGAAAUCCUGGAGCUCAACUCCAGAACUGCCUUUGAUACUGAAAGUCUUGAGUAUGGGAGAGGUGAGUGGAACUGCGAGUGUAGAGGUGAAAUUCGUAGAUAUUCGCAAGAACACCAGUGGCGAAGGCGGCUCACUGGCCCAUAACUGACGCUGAGGCACGGAAAGCGUGGGGAGCAAACAGG
rnacentral:rRNA from 1 species